UACGAAGGGGGCUAGCGUUGCUCGGAAUUACUGGGCGUAAAGGGCGCGUAGGCGGGCCGCCGCGUCCGGGGUGAAAUCCUCCCGCUCAACGGGAGAACGGCCUCGGAUACGGGCGGCCUCGAGGGGGGUAGGGGCGUGCGGAACUGUGGGUGGAGCGGUGAAAUGCGUUGAUAUCCACGGGAACUCCGGUGGCGAAGGCGGCACGCUGGACCCCACCUGACGCUGAGGCGCGAAAGCCAGGGGAGCGAACGGG
rnacentral:rRNA from 1 species